AGAGAGAUGGUCGAGUGGUUGAUGGAUUUGGUCUUGAAAACUGGUAUAGUUAAAAAAAUAUCGAGGGUUCAUAUCCCUCUCUCUCCU
rnacentral:tRNA from 1 species